UACGUAGGGAGCGAGCGUUGUCCGGAUUUACUGGGUGUAAAGGGUGCGUAGGCGGCAAUGCAAGUCAGGCGUGAAAGCUCGGGGCUUAACCCCGAAACUGCGCUUGAAACUGUGUUGCUUGAGUGAAGUAGAGGUAGGCGGAAUUCCCGGUGUAGCGGUGAAAUGCGUAGAGAUCGGGAGGAACACCAGUGGCGAAGGCGGCCUACUGGGCUUUAACUGACGCUGAGGCACGAAAGCAUGGGCAGCAAACAGG
rnacentral:rRNA from 1 species